AUUGAACGCUGGCGGCAGGCCUAACACAUGCAAGUCGGACGGUAGCACAGAGGAGCUUGCUCCUCGGGUGACGAGUGGCGGACGGGUGAGUAAUGUCUGGGGAUCUGCCCGAUAGCGGGGGAUAACCACUGGAAACGGUGGCUAAUACCGCAUAACGUCGCACGACCACAGUGGGGGACCGUCGGGCCCCUCACCAGCGGAUGAACCGAGAAGGGAUUAGCAAGUCGGCGGGGUAACGGCCCACCUAGGCGACGAUCCCUAGCUGGUCUGAGGGGAUGACCAGCCACACUGGAACUGAGACACGGUCCAGACUCCUACGGGAGGCAGCAGUGGGGAAUAUUGCACAAUGGGCGCAAGCCUGAUGCAGCCAUGCCGCGUGUAUGAAGAAGGCCUUCGGGUUGUAAAGUACUUUCAGCGGGGAGGAAGGCGAUGUGGUUAAUAACCGCGUCGAUUGACGUUACCCGCAGAAGAAGCACCGGCUAACUCCGUGCCAGCCGCCGCGGUAA
rnacentral:rRNA from 1 species